CCAGGAUUCAUUACUUGUUUUGUGUGAAUCACCAUGGAGGCUCAACCAUCCUCUCAGGGUUGGAGACCAAGAAGAGAGGCCUGAAGGGCCCAUUCCUCCCAGCUAUAGCUGUUCAUGGCGGCAUCUCCCAAAGGAAUGUGUGUGAAGAGCGUUGGCUCUCUAAGACGUGCCUUCUUAUGUGGGGACAGAUGAGCAGCCAUUCGACUGGGCUUAUCAUAGCUGCUGGUGAGGCAGAGCAAGGUGAGGCUGCAGGGCCCUGUAGCAGUCCAAGGGAGCAAGCUGACUCAACAGCAGUCAGAAGCAGAUGAAGCCCUCACAUCACUCUGAACUCAGACUGCCCCUCCUGGACUCAGCCGCCCUGCCUGGAGAGUGGAAGCCCCAAAGGGGCAGCCUUCUGGGAGCCAGCACUACGACUUCACUCCAUCAACACCUGCCAAGCUUCUUGCCAGCACUGACAAGCAGAUAUUGGGGGGUGCAAUGGUGUGGUUGAGGCCAGAGUACUGCCUCAGGUGUCAUGAUCCCAGGCCCUGGGAAAUCCAGGGGAAGAGACCAAGCAGAAGGCACAAGGUGACCUUGUGCCACUAGGACCUCCCAGAUGGAGAGAACCAGCGUCCCCACCAAAACCUGAGGGCACAACUCUGCCAUCGUCCACCGAUUCGGAAGAGUCCUCGGGGGACCUACUGGUCAUAAUGGAGCCCCACACAAUCAGAACCAGCACUUGAAAAACUCGGCAAGGCCCCUUUAAGAACCAAAGCUUCCUUAUGGAAGGAGCAGAACCAAGUCGCCCUACCUAUGAAACCCAGCAGUCUGCUGAAACAACAUCCUGUCUCUGCCAUUGUAACCCAGCUCCUGUAUUUCCUAUUAGCUGUAGUUGAGGUCCUGACUUGUCCCCCCUGGAGCAAUCCAAGGUCUGGUGCAUCCCUGAUCUGUACCUCGGAGAAUACUCUGGCUGAGCCUGGAGCAAGACACUCCGGCCCUGAAGGAACUACCUCAGCAGCAUCUCCUUUUCCACCUUGAGAGACGCCUUCCUGUUCAUUUUUGUCCCAGACUGGGGUUGCACAGCCUGGCCCAGAUGAGCCCCAAACCACCUACCCCGCUAACAACUGGUUUAACCUUUGGGGCCUGCCUCAUCUGGGCCUGAGGAGCCAUUUUUUAGCACCUCCUGAGAACAAGAGCGCCAAAUGCACUCAGCAUAGAAUAGUCAGAAAUUUCUGGUGGGAGCAAAAGGGGUUGAUUUCUGCCAUUCCUGGAGCCGUGCCCAUCACUGAAUGAGAGAGAGGAGCUGGGAGAGGAGCUGCUUCCUUCUCGCCUCUGCUUUCCUCUGCCGGGGUUAGCAGAAAGGUUGAUCUCCAGAUGAUGCAGUUAAGGGCUUCAAGGACACCAGCAGGCCUUUCUCUCCUGGGCGCCUUCAGCAUCGUGCCAGGUGCAGGAUAAAGAUCAUGAUGGAGGGCCUGGUCUCCACUUGGCCUAGCAGCCUUCCCUGAGCUGGGCCUGUGCCAAAGUAAAAGUGCCCAGGAGAAGGAGUGGGAAUCAGAAAAGAAUGAAGGCAAAGCAAGCAAUGGAGGAUCCUGAUAGCUGUGUCUCCUGAUCUAUACUACAGUCCUGUAAGUGUUGAAGAACCUCUUGAAUUUGUCUUCCCAGAAGAUGGAGAGGUAAGUCUGACUCCUACCACCUCCAGAGGCCAGACUGUCAGAGAGCUACAUAGGAAAAGACAGCAGUCCACAGAUAUCAAAGGUGUUGAAAAAGGAGCGUACUUCUUCUCUGUUGCUACUGAGUGCAGCACUGAACGCUGCCAAUACGAGAAUGCAGGUUUAGGCUAGGCAGUAGGAAUGCUUUCCCAGAUGGGAGA